AUGAACGCUGGCGGCGCGCCUAAUACAUGCACGUCGAGCGCACGGACGAGAAGCUUGCUUCUCUGAUGUUAGCGGCGGACGGGUGAGUAACACGUGGAUAACCUACCUAUAAGACUGGGAUAACUUCGGGAAACCGGAGCUAAUACCGGAUAAUAUUUUGAACCGCAUGGUUCAAAAGUGAAAGACGGUCUUGCUGUCACUUAUAGAUGGAUCCGCGCUGCAUUAGCUAGUUGGUAAGGUAACGGCUUACCAAGGCAACGAUGCAUAGCCGACCUGAGAGGGUGAUCGGCCACACUGGAACUGAGACACGGUCCAGACUCCUACGGGAGGCAGCAGUAGGGAAUCUUCCGCAAUGGGCGAAAGCCUGACGGAGCAACGCCGCGUGAGUGAUGAAGGUCUUCGGAUCGUAAAACUCUGUUAUUAGGGAAGAACAUAUGUGUAAGUAACUGUGCACAUCUUGACGGUACCUAAUCAGAAAGCCACGGCUAACUACGUG
rnacentral:rRNA from 1 species